rnacentral:rRNA from 1 species
GCAGGCUGCAACUCGCCUGCAUGAAGCUGGAAUUGCUAGUAAUCGCGGAUCAGCAUGCCGCGGUGAAUACGUUCCCGGGCCUUGUACACACCGCCCGUCACACCAUGAGAGUCGGGAACACCCGAAGUCCGUAGUCUAACCGCAAGGAGGGCGCGGCCGAAGGUGAGUCCGGUAAUUGGGGUGAAGUCGUAACAAGGUACC